rnacentral:rRNA from 1 species
AUUGAACGCUGGCGGCAGGCUUAACACAUGCAAGUCGAGCGGGGUGAUGGUGCUUGCACUAUCACUUAGCGGCGGACGGGUGAGUAAUGCUUAGGAAUCUGCCUAUUAGUGGGGGACAACAUCUCGAAAGGGAUGCUAAUACCGCAUACGUCCUACGGGAGAAAGUAGGGGAUCACUUGUGACCUUGCGCUAAUAGAUGAGCCUAAGUCUGGAUUAGCUAGUUGGUGGGGUAAGGGCCUACCAAGGCGACGAUCUGUAGCGGGUCUGAGAGGAUGAUCCGCCACACUGGGACUGAGACACGUCCCAGACUCCGACGGGAGGCAGCAGUGGGGAAUAUUGGACAAUGGGGGGAACCCUGAUCCAUCCAUGCCGCGUGUGUGAAGAAUGCCUUAUGGUUGUAAAGCACUUUAAGCGAGGAGGAGGCUCUUUUGGUUAAUACCCAAGAUGAGUGGACGUUACUCGCAGAAUAAGCACCGGCUAACUCUGUGCCAGCAGCCGCCGUAA